rnacentral:rRNA from 1 species
AGAGUUUGAUCAUGGCUCAGAUUGAACGCUGGAGGCGUGCUUAACACAUGCAAGUCGUGCGAGAAAGGGACUUCGGUCCUGAGUAGAGCGGCGCACGGGUGAGUAACGCGUGGGUGAUCUCCCUUGGUGAUCGGGAUAACAGCGGGAAACUGCUGCUAAUACCGGAUAAUCUUCAUGUUUAACUUCAUGGGGUAAAGGUGGCCUCUGCUUGCAAGCUACCACACCAAGAUGAGCCCGCGUCUCAUUAGCUAGUUGGUAGGGUAAUGGCCUACCAAGGCUACGAUGAGUAGCUGGUCUGAGAGGAUGACCAGCCACACUGGGACUGGAACACGGCCCAGACUCCUACGGGAGGCAGCAGUGGGGAAUAUUGCGCAAUGGGCGAAAGCCUGACGCAGCGACGCCUCGUGAGGGAUGAAGGUCUUCGGAUCGUAAACCUCUGUCAAGAGGGAAGAAACCCUUGGGUUCAAAUAGGGCCCUUGGCUGACGGUACCUCAAAAG